CUGGGUGUAGCUCAAUUUGGCAGAGCGCGCGGUUCGGGUCCGCGAGGCUGCAGGUUCAAAUCCUGUCACCCAGA
rnacentral:tRNA from 1 species